AAAAAGCCUGAGGUUAUACCAAUAUUGUCCACGAGUCAUUAACAUGCAAUAUGAACAGCAAGGGUGCCAUCAUCCUUCCCUGGAGCACGUCUAAAGUUACUUCUAUGUCUGAUGAUGUCAUGCGUCGCAUUAUUGAAGACCAGUGGAUUUCCAUUCCACAACAUAAGUUCCGUGAAGGCAUGGAUGCAAGACUUCGGACGGGAAACUGCUGGCAUCGAUCCGCGAUUUGUCCAGGUAUGCACCAGGAUGCUGUAUGUUGACAAUUACAUAUGGACUGUCGUACAGUACACACCAC